UGCAGCCCUGGAGCUGGCUCUACAAUUUAGGAUGGAGCAAGCACAGUACUCCAAGGCACCAGAGAGGUACUCCACGCCACCUUGAAGAGGAUUGCUACAUAGGGCAAGAAGGCAGAGGUUGUAGGAAGUUUUAGCUCUGCAC